rnacentral:rRNA from 1 species
CCUACGGGAGACUGCAGUAGGGAAUCUUCCACAAUGGGCGAAAGCCUGAUGGAGCAACGCCGCGUGGGUGAAGAAGGUCUUCGGAGCGUAAAACCCUGUUGUUAGAGAAGAAAGUGCGUGAGAGUAACUGUUCACGUUUCGACGGUAACUUACCAGAAAGCAAUGGCUAACUACGUGCCAGCAGCCGCGGUAAGACGUCGGUUGCAAUCGUUAUCCGGAGUUAUUGGGCGUAAAGGGAAUGCAGGCGGUCUUUUAAGUCUGCUGUGAAAGCCUUCGGCUUAACCGGAGUAGUGCAUUGGAAACUGGGAGACUUGAGUGCAGAAGAGGAGAGUGGAACUCCAUGUGUAGCGGUGAAAUGCGUAGAUAUAUGGAAGAACACCAGUGGCGAAAGCGGCUCUCUGGUCUGUAACUGACGCUGAGGUUCGAAAGCGUGGGUAGCAAACAGGAUUAGAUACCCGAGUAGUC